UGUAGCACGGCAGCGCGGGGCAACCUGGCGGCGAGUGGCGAACGGGUGAGUAAUACAUCGGAACGUGCCCUGUGAUGGGGGAUAACUACGCGAAAGCGUAGCUAAUACCGCAUACGACCCAAGGGUGAAAGUGGGGGAUCGCAAGACCUCACGUCAUAGGAGCGGCCGAUGGCGGAUUAGCUAGUUGGUGAGGUAAAGGCUUACCAAGGCGACGAUCCGUAGCUGGUCUGAGAGGACGACCAGCCACACUGGGACUGAGACACGGCCCAGACUCCUACGGGAGGCAGCAGUGGGGAAUCUUGGACAAUGGGGGCAACCCUGAUCCAGCAAUGCCGCGUGUGGGAUGAAGGCCUUCGGGUUGUAAACCACUUUUGGCGGGGGCGAAAUAUCGAGUGCUAAUACCAUUCGGUGAUGACGGUACCCGCAGAAUAAGCACCGGCUAACUACGUGCCAGCAGCCCGGGG
rnacentral:rRNA from 1 species